CAUCAACUACAUGUUACAUGUUCACAGAGGGUGAGGUGGUGUCAAACGUGGUGGCAGAUCUCUGCUCACUGUUUGUCGUCACGCUCAUUCUCAGAGGCGUCAAACCUGUUAUAUCAGACGACAUAGAAGGGAAGUGUACCAGAGAAGGACACACUGAAUAAUGUCUCACUAGAAGAAUACCAAAACUUCCUGUAUACAAAUGUUGACACUCUCAGUUGUACCGUGUACCUUAGGAUUUAUUUAAGAAACAAGAAAUCUAAAAGUUUCUUGUGUUGGGAGAGGACUGAUGGGCUACAUUGGGGAUAAGGGCAAGUUUUACUUGAUAAUGUGGAC